rnacentral:lncRNA from 1 species
AAGAAACAGCUCCACACAACUAGGUCGUGGGAUUUCGUGGGGUUUCCCCGACAAGUUAAAAGAACAAGUUUUGAAAGCGACAUUAUCAUAGGAGUGCUUGACGGUGGAAUAUGGCCAGAGUCUGACAGCUUCGAUGAUAAAGGAUUUGGCCCACCGCCAAGGAAAUGGAAGGGCACUUGCCAAGGGUUUUCCAAUUUCACUUGCAACAAGUAAAUCUCACUCGCAACAGAGUGUCUAAAUACCCUGUUAAAAAAGUUUAAAUAUAUCCUAUCCUUGUUCCUUAACAAAACUUUCCACCGAUGUUAUUGCAGUAAAAUUAUUGGAGCCAAGUACUAUAAGAGCGAUAGAAAAUUUAGCCCAGAAGAUUUGCAAUCCCCAAGAGAUUCAGACGGCCACGGGACACACACUGCAUCCACUGCAGCUGGGGGCCUAGUCAACAUGGCAAGUCUCAUGGGCUUUGGCUUAGGAACUGCUCGGGGCGGAGUUCCAUCAGCUCGGAUAGCAGUGUAUAAGAUAUGUUGGUCUGAUGGCUGUGAUGAUGCUGAUAUUCUCGCAGCAUUUGAUGAUGCAAUUGCUGAUGGGGUUGAUAUAAUCUCUUAUUCACUUGGGAAUCCCCCUUCCCGGGAUUAUUUUAAAGAUACUGCUGCAAUCGGUGCUUUUCAUGCAAUGAAAAAUGGGAUACUAACAUCAACUUCUGCUGGUAACGAUGGACCUCGCCUUGUUUCCGUCGUAAAUGUCGCGCCAUGGUCUCUUUCCGUGGCUGCUAGCACCAUAGAUCGGAAGUUCUUGACCGAGGUGCAACUAGGUGACAAGAAGGUUUAUAAGGUGAGUAAACUUGCUCACACUUUGGACUAAUAACCAUCACAUUCAAAUAUCAUUUAUUAAAGAAAUUAGAUUUCAACUACGUGGAUCUGAUUUUUGGAGGUGGAGGUUAUAUCAUUGCCCUUUGUGUAGGGAUUUUCGAUAAACGCAUUUGAGCCCAAUGGCAUGUAUCCUUUGAUUUAUGGUGGGGAUGCCCCGAAUACUAGAGGAGGUUUUAGAGGGAACACAUCCAGGUACUUAUUAUUAAAGAAUGAAAAAUAAUUAAUUGAAAAUGAAAACCGUACGUUAGAAAUCCUGAAUUUUAAAGUGUGUGAUAGAUUACAGGACUUUCAUCACUGAAAUGCAGGUUUUGCGAAAUAAACUCAUUGAACCCAAAUUUAGUGAAGGGUAAAAUUGUCCUUUGCAUUGGGCUUGGCGCUGGGUUUAAAGAAGCAUGGAGUGCAUUCUUGGCAGGUGCCGUUGGGACUGUGAUAGUGGAUGGACUCCGACUCCCCAAAGAUUCCAGCAAUAUUUAUCCCUUGCCUGCAUCUCGCCUUAGUGCAGGAGAUGGUAAAAGAAUUGCCUACUACAUCAGCUCAACAAGGUAUCGAUUAACACAGCUUCCUACUUUUAUUUGGAGAUGACUGUAAAUUAUACAAGUGAUAUGCUUUAGAAUUUGUACGGCAUAUAUGUACUCAGUCUUAGUCUUACUACAUUUAAACAGUAACCCAACUGCAUCGAUUUUGAAGAGUAUUGAGGUUAAGGACACAUUGGCCCCAUAUGUACCCUCCUUCUCAUCAAGGGGUCCAAACAAUAUUACACACGACCUUCUCAAGGUAGCUUAUGCCAUUAUUCUUGAUUUUCUUCUCAUUUAUCCCAUGACAUGUUCAUCUCUAUAUCAUGUAAACCCAACUCAACAUUUUCACCUCCCAUUUGAGAAAACACAGGGGUUUUUUUCUUAAUCUAUGUUGAGAACGGUUACGCAUACCUCAGACCAAAUCACCCUUUUCCUUAGUUCAUAAAGACUUUCUAGAAGCUUGACAUUCAUGAUGACUUUGUGAUCUUACUGCAUGCAGCCAGAUUUAACAGCCCCAGGUGUACACAUUCUGGCUGCCUGGUCACCAAUUUCUCCAAUCUCUCAAAUGAGUGGUGAUAAUCGAGUAGCGCAAUACAAUAUAUUAAGCGGCACGUCAAUGGCUUGUCCACAUGCUACUGGGGCAGCUGCCUACAUCAAGUCAUUUCACCCCACCUGGUCUCCUGCUGCUAUUAAGUCUGCUCUUAUGACUACUGGUAAUGACUGAAUUUUAUUCCCGGCCUUUCAAAUUAUGAAAGAGGUGAUAGUAAUGGAUUUUAGUCCUUUGUGUGUUUUGUAAGCAGCUACUCCCAUGAGCGCUAGAAAAAAUCCGGAAGCCGAAUUUGCAUAUGGUGCAGGCAAUAUUGAUCCUGUAAGGGCUGUGCACCCUGGUUUAGUGUAUGAUGCCGAUGAGAUUGACUUUGUAAAUUUUUUGUGUGGAGAAGGCUAUAGUAUUCAGACUCUACGGAAAGUCACCGGGGAUCAUAGUGUCUGUUCGAAAGCUACGAAUGGAGCCGUUUGGGAUCUAAAUUACCCGUCCUUUGCUCUUUCCAUCCCCUACAAAGAAUCAAUCGCUCGCACGUUCAAAAGGAGUGUCACAAAUGUUGGAUUACCAGUAUCCACAUAUAAAGCAACUGUUAUUGGUGCCCCAAAGGGACUCAAAAUCAACGUUAAACCAAACAUUUUAUCAUUCACAUCCAUCGGGCAGAAACUAUCUUUUGUGUUGAAGGUUGAAGGACGUAUAGUUAAAGACAUGGUCUCUGCUUCGUUAGUGUGGGAUGACGGUUUACAUAAAGUGAGGUCCCCCAUUAUUGUGUAUGCAGUCCAAUAAAAUUCCAAAAGCCUGGUGUUUUGUACCAGAGGCAUCGGAAUUGUGGUAUCUAUCACGUUGAACUAAAUGAUGUGGUAUCUACAUAAGAUGGAAAUAAAUGAUAAUAUUUAGUAUUGGUUGUAUUACCUGUCCAUACGAGCUAUUAGAUCUAGCUCUAAUAGAUCUAAUACCCUUUACAUAUGAAGGUUCGGUCUCAAUACCCUUCUUUCUCCUCUCCCAGCCACUUUUCUCCUAGGCGGCCAGGCCCAUCCUUUCUUUUUGCUCUCCCUAGGCACUUUUCUCCGGGGCCCACCGCACCUUUAUGUGAUACUUUAAGGACGUAGCUUUAUCAUGGUUGAAAUUAUUGCCAAAACAUAUAUAUUUAAAUAGUAGUCAAAUAAAAAUUUCAUAAUUAAUCUAAUUUUAUUCAAAUAUACACUUAAAUAAUAGUCAAAUAAGAACUCCAUGGUUAUUUUCUUUUAAAAAAAAAUCUUUUAUGUAACAAGUUAUUGUUGAAAGUACAUGUAUCAAGUUUCAUGCCUUUUUUUGUUUCUCUUUAUUUUAUUAAUUCAUUAUUUUAAAAAUAUUUUUAUAUAUUUUAAAAUUUUUUCUACAAAUGUACUUACGUAGAAAAAUUGAAAUUAAUUAUAGUUAAAUAUAUUUGUACCAAUCUUCAAGAGGAGUGAAUUAAAUUAAUCUUUAAACAAAUCAACAUACCAUGAAAAUAACCAAAAAAUAUUUUAAAAGAACUUUUGGAAAUAAUUUUUUUUCUAAUUUGGAAAAAAAUUAUAAUUAAAUUUGAAUAAAAAUUAUUUCAUUAAAAAUGUUGUCAUGUGUGAUGUAUCGGACACUCAUGUACUAAGGGGUUUUGGCAUUUUUUUGGUUUCCUUGUCAUGAUUAUUUAUUAAUUUGUAAUUUAAAAAUUCUUUUUAUAAUUUUUUUUACUCUUAAAAGUUAAGAUAAAAGACUCAUACCUCAAUUUUGUUUAUGCACUCUGUAAACAAUACAUUUGUAUUGAUUUUAUGACAUAGGUAUAAAACAUUUUGUUGUGAAUAUGUUACAAAAUACAUAAAAAAGUGUAGUCCUAUAAAUUUAUUUUAAGAUGAUUUUACUUAAUUCUUCAAAAAUGGAAAGACCAUGGUAUUUUCUUUGUAUUCACAAUUAAAAAGAGUGCAUAGGACCCAUGUAAAAGGGAAUACAUUCUCUAUUUUAAAGGAAUGAGUUUCUUCUCCCACACCCAAGAGAAUUUGAUAAUGCGGAAUAAUUUUUACUUGUCAUCCAUGUACAAAACAUUUGUUUCGAUUUGUGAAAGACAUUUUGGGUAUAAGAAAACAAUGUACACCAAAUAAGGACCAUUGUUAUGUUUGCUCUAAUAUAAAAUUCCAAAAUCUUUGUGUUGGUGUGAUAUAAAAUUGCGAUAUCUAUAAAAUUGAAAAUAAAUGUUGUGAUAUAAGUAAGAUGGAAACAAAAGAGAAAAUUGUAAGCCUUUAAUAUUAAGGAAAUUUGGAAUUAAUUUUAAAAUAAAAUGUGUGUCAUUAAUUAUUUGACUAGUUUUUUGUAUAUGGCACGGAGGGGUUGUUUCUCAAUGUAAUACAUUAGUUAUUAAUAGGACAUGUGAAUAUUAGUUGUGGAUUAACACAGCUCCAGGUUGAUAGUGGUAUUAUAAAACUUUCAAAAAAUGACUCAUAAAUGUAGUUUUCCUCUAUUUUAUAUUUUUCUUAAUUUUUCUAAUAAAUAUAUAGACCACAUUACAAAUCAUGUAACAAUACAAUCUCCUACAUAGUUUAAUCAAUGUAAGUCAUAUGCUGAAAAAAAAAUCAAUACUCCUAGUAUAGGAAAUAAUGACUUAUUCAUAAAUAUGAAUCUUAUGCUAUAAUUAAAUCAAAAAUAGAAAUUAAAGAAUAAUAAAGAGACGAAAAAAACACAUGAAUAUAAGGUGAAAAAUCUUUAAGGAGACAAAGAACCAUGGACCAAUCUUAAUUAAUCACAAUAUCUACUAUAAAGGAAAUGUCUGGUUCAAGAUUUUACUUAAUAUACAGCUUCCAAUCCUCUCCAAGGCCAUUUGUUUAGUAUUUUAGGGAUCUUAGCUUUCCACCGUCUCCAUGUGGAACUUUUUUGGAACCCUUUCAAAUAUGAUUUUAGACUCUUUUUGAUAUCCACAGAAAAAUACAUUUAACCGAAACGAGAGUAUGGACAAAAAUAAUGGAAUUAAUGAGUAGUAAAUAAAUCUAUUAAAUAUAUACAAAAAAUGUAUAUAAAAUUAUUUCAUCAAGAUGUUUUCCAUUCUUGGAGAAUUAAGUAAAAUCAUCAAAUAGUGGGUGUUGUAAAAUUUCCUUUCAUCAAAUAGUGGCCUUUCAUUUUUCAGUUUAUAUUUUUAUUAUAUUUUUAAAAAUAAAUCAUUUGAAAUGUCGUGUAAGGAGUAACUCAAGCAUUUGAAAAUAAUGUAUAUUGGACUAUGUAGGUUGAUCAUCAAAUGUGUAUCAUAAGGUUUAAGCAGUUGCAUUUGUAUCUCAAUUGUUGAAAGUGUACAAUAAAGUUUAAAUCAUCAAAGAUGAUGAUGCAAGUAAUAUAAUUAAGUAUAGAUCAAUAAAAUUAAGGUAAAAAACAAUAAAAUCAAAGUGUAAAAUAAUGAGACAAAAUUCGGUAUAAAGAAAUGAAAUUAUAAUUCAAACGUGAUACAACUUGAUUAAUUGUGCUUUUUAAUACUUAUCAUCGAUUUAGUAUUAGAGAGGGGCCUACGAUGAUUAAAAGAGGAGGAUUGAAAGGCUCAGGUAUAUAUACAUGUCCAAAGCACCAGAAUGUGGUCCAUCUAAUGGCAAGAAAAAACUUUUUUCUCUGGUUUCUCCUUCUCAGUCUCAUUUGCACUUUGUUCUGUACCCACAGUACUACAGCAAUAUAGAUCCUGUGAAGGCUGUAGAUCCUGGUCUGGUAUAUGAUGUCGAUGAGAUUGACUAUGUAAAAUUUUUGUGUGGGCAAGGUUAUAGUACUCGGGCUCUAUGGCGUCACUGGGGGUAAUUGUGUCUGUUCUGCCGCUACAAAUGGAACCGUCUGGAAUCUAAAUUACCCUUCCUUUGCUCUUUCCAGCUUCACCAAGGAAUCUGUCACUGGAAUGCAUGGAACCAAAUUAAACCAAUAUUAUCUUUAUACUAGAAAAGCUGGAAUUGGGCUUUGUUGUAACUUCUGUUAUAUUUUUUAAAAUAUUUACGAAAGUACCAUUGCUUUCCUUUCAUAUAUAGGAUGGGAUAAUGGUAAUUAUCAAUUAAAUGCAGGUCGAAAGAUGUAGUAUGACAGCAACGUGUAUUGUUGCCAUUAUGCCACCUAUCAUGAUUUCAUAUAUAGGAAGGCAUCUUCCACAAUUUCAUUGAGCCUCUCUUUUUCCUUUACUUUGUUACUUUCAAAUUAGAACAAUUUACUUGAAUUCAGGCAAUAUGGAUAAAUCACCCGUGGGAGUGACCCAAAUUCUAAUUGCUACACCCGUCAACAUUGACGGAAAAAAUGGUGACGUAUUAUGGGAAUCGUAAUCAACUGUCGGUGGGCUGACGCAACCUUCCCACCCCCCUUUCCUCCAACACGUGAGUCACAUGCUUGAGACCUUCAAUGGCAAAACAAUUAUAUCAUGCACCUUUGGAUGAUAUAAAACAAUUAUAUAAAAGAAUUAUUUUAUAUCUAACACGUACCUUUGGAUGCUAAAGAAAUUUUAUGUCAGAUACAUGUUUUAGUGGUAUUCAAAGGCACAAAAAAGCACAAUUUAUGGGAAUAUAAAAUUUAUUUAAAUAAUUGGAGUGAGAAAAAAAAUGAAAAAUAUUUCUCUGCUAGAAAUUAGGAUUCAACAUUGUUAAAUAGGAUUUUCAGAUGGUAAUUUUACAAAAAAAAGUUGGUAAUAAUACCCUAAAAAUAAAUUGAAGGGCAUUAAUAAUGGGAUGAAAUUCUAAAGAUGAAGUCUAAUGUAAUGAUUGAUUAGGGGUCUCCAAAAAGCCCGCGGCCCGCGGCCCGCUUUAGGCCCGGCCCGGCCCGACGGGCUAAAGCCCGGCCCAAGCCCGCUAGGCCCAAGCCCGGCCCGAGCCCGUUUAUGGGCUGGUCGGGCCGCGGGCCUGGCCCGUAGGCCCGCCCUUAGGCCCGCCUUUAAUUUUUUUUUAAAAAAUAAUAUACUAUAUUUUUAUAUAUAUAUAACUAACUCAUUUUAUAAGUACAAAAGAAAUGUAGCUCAGUUGGUUAGAGCCUUGAAAUUUAAGCUUGAGGGGAGGGGUUCGAAUUCCCUCCUCUUCCUUCCUUUAUUUAAAAGCCAUUUUGGCUUAUUUAAAAAAGCCCGCGGCCCGGCUCGCUGGCCCGGCCCACCCAGCCCGCCCCCCAGCCCGCUAGCCCGCGGGCUCAUAGGCCGGGCCGCGGGCCUAGCAUUUUAGCUCGGCCCGGCCCGGCCCGGCCCGACCCGUUGACCAGUCAACAGGCCCAUAGGCCCGGCCCGAGCUGGGCCGCGGGCCUCUUAUUUACGGCCCGGCCCGCCCCGGCCCGCCCGUUGGAGACCCUUAUGAUUGAUGCUCCAACACACUCUCUCCCUCUGUAUAGUCUUUGAGCUUUAUUCAUAACUUUAACAAAAUUCUUUCUCAAAAGAAGUGACAAUAAUAAUAAAAAAGAUUGAAUUAUUGGAAGGGAUGUAAAGUAGAUGUUGAUGGGCAUAUCUUUUAAUGAAAAAAAGUCUUUGGUAUUAUGGGGGAUGACUGGUGAGUCUUUUGAUUUAUCCGUGCAUUGCUCUUUAUUCUUUUAUCUUUUUAAAUACAAAUUAUUGGAAAUGUCCUGGAAGGUGUAACAUUAGAUUAAAAGAGAAAAAGGAUUGGGAGGCUCAUGUGUAUAUAUGUAUAGAUGUCCAAGCACCACGAAGCGCAUAGCUUACCAUCAUCUAAUGGCAAAACAAAAAAACUCCUUUCUGUGGUUUCUCCUUCUCAGUCUCAUCUGCAGUCUGCUCAGCACCCACAGUACUGCAGCAGCUUCCGAGGAUGAUGUUCGAAAGGCAAGAAACACCCAUCUCUCUCUUGCUUUCUCUUAAUUAAUGGCUUGGUCAAUAUUCCAUGAACCAUACAUGCAUGCGUGGCGGAAAAAUUAAGAUUAAUCUUGCGCUGAAAAUCAUGCUUGGGUAGUGUUAAUAAACUGGAUUUGCAUCAAACAUGUUGUGGAUGCAGGAGUAUAUUGUGUACAUGGGUGCCAAGCCUGCCGGAGAUUUGUCGGCGUCUGCCAUUCACACCAACAUGCUGGAGCAAGUCUUUGGCAGGUCAGAAUUCACCUUUUGUUUUUUUGUUUUUGUUUUUUUAUUUAUUACAUAUAUGGUACCAUUUUCCCCAUGGAAUGCCUUUUCAGUGGUAGGGCAUCAAGUUCUCUAGUUCGCAGUUACAAAAGGAGUUUCAAUGGAUUUGUAGCGAAGCUAACAGAGGAGGAAAUGCAGCAAAUGAAAGGUGCGUAGGUGGGUUUAAAUCUUUCUUUAAUUGAAGUUUCUCAUGCGUGUAAUGGCUACAAAAUUAACUGUAACUUUGGAGUUUCAGGCAUGGACGGGGUGGUCUCGGUUUUCCCUAACGAAAAGAAACAGCUCCACACAACUAGGUCGUGGGAUUUCGUGGGGUUUCCCCGACAAGUUAAAAGAACAAGUUUUGAAAGCGACAUUAUCAUAGGAGUGCUUGACACUGGAAUAUGGCCAGAGUCUGACAGCUUCGAUGAUAAAGGAUUUGGCCCACCGCCAAGGAAAUGGAAGGGCACUUGCCACGGGUUUUCCAAUUUCACUUGCAACAAGUAAAUCUCACUCGCAACAGUGUCUAAAUACCC